CAGGUUCACUAAAGCAGCUUCCUUGGAGAUAGACAUCCUCAUCUUACUAAGAUUCCAGGACAGAUUCCUGAGACACUCCAAUUGUCACUCCUCUCCCAAGAGAAUGAGGAACAAUUAACAAGCACACUUUGGGUUGAAUCCACGCAUUGUUCACUGCCAUUGAGAAAUACAAUGAUUUGCCAGUGGAAUUUUCUGAAUGGACAAGACAAUUCACAAGGUGAAUGAUUGCUAUAACACAAUACCACAGUAUUCAAAGAUGUGUGGAUUGAUGCUGAAUGUGUACAACUGACUUGGUGAAUGGCAUUCUUGCACCAUGAUAAAUUAUUAGAUUUAAUGCAUGUGGAAACUCUGAUGUUUACACUUUGUCUUACCCUAUUGCACUCCAUUAUAUGUUUAAUGAAUUUGCACAGUCUGUAUAUUCCAGAAUUAAAGUAGAGAGGUUGAUGGUAAAAACAAACCUGAAGUACCAUGUUGGUACUUGUGCUACCAAAUGGCAUUUCACUAACUGAUGGAUUUAUAGAGGGUUUUGGAACUUUCUCUAUGUUGCAGUUAUUUUUGUUUAUAUAUUUCUGAAGUAAAAUAUCUCUUCAUCGUUUAUUGAAAAAAAAUCUGCCUAUUCCACAUUGUGAACUACUAUGAUUUUUAUGUUUGUGUAUGUCAAUCUGUGUUAUGAUUAUUACACUUUUUGAAAUCAAUUACUGUUCAUAAU